UAAUAAACACGUCAAUCGAAGUAAAGAAUUUAAUAUCCAAGAAAAAAAUGCUGAAUAUGUAAAGCAUCAUUUAUUAUAGAAUUAAAAUGAUAUACCAAUUAUACGGGUUACAUCUUAAAAAAGAUGAUUAUCUUGGAAAGGAUACACAGGUGAACAAAGUUAAGGAACGCGUGAAAAUCUAAAGUUUAAAUAAAAGAGAAGAAAUUUCCGAUGGCUGUGGGAAUGUAACAAAAUUUUAAAGUAGCGAUUUAAGAUAAUCAAUCAUCUACAAACACGUUUUCGGCCACAGCGAAUACGUUCACCACUAAGAAUGUCGGUGGUGCGCUCUCAAAGUAAAAAAAAAGAGUUCAAUGGACUGGCACUGGUUUCACCAAGAACGAUGAGCGAGAAGCGAUUGGAGCUACAAAAUAAGAAAUGAGUUGGCGCGCGAGCAGCGAGAAGCGAGUAUAGUUCUGUUGCAACCGGAAAGCGAUGAUCACACGGCAAAUCAAAUCCUGAAGACUAUAGCAGCCACGUCAAAGAAAGAUAUACCUAUCUACCUACCUACCUACCUACCUAUUAAAAAAAAUGUUUAUUCUUUCUCGUUUGAUAUGGAGUGCGCAAAAGAAUUGCACGACCUGAUCCCAGCUUUCCCUUUCCGGACGUCCAGGCGCGAGGAGCGAAUGCACCCGUUCGUUGUUAAUAUUCCAUUUGUCCGCACAAAACGAUUUGCCUCAUCUUUUUUGGUAAGGACGAUUAAGGAAUGGAAUGCGCUUCCGUCAUCUGUGUUUCCUGGGAAAUUUGACCUCGGUCUCUUUAAAGCAACAGUGAAUAGGCUAUUACUUACUGAGCCGGUAAG